UGAAAAUGGGUGCAAUUUAAAAUUCAAAAGCAAAUCUGGACUGGAUUGUAUUAACUGCAGAUUUGCUGUUUCUUCUUCUUCAAAACGCCAGCGUAUUAGACGUGCCCUACACGUGUCAACGUUUCCUUUUCUAUGGAAAUCCAGCCGUCCACGUCACCCAAGCAUGAUCUUAACCGUUCAUUCCCACAAUUUUCUUCUGCGUUCCUUGAGAGAGAGAGAGAGAGAGAGAGAGAUGCUCCUGCUUCCCCAAAUCCCUUUCUUCAAUCUUCCAGAUUUGUUACAGAGUGUCUCUGUCGUUUUGUUCAAUUUUUCUCCAAAGAAAAACCAGACCACAAGGAGAAGGAAAAACACAGAGGAAGCUCGAUGAUUAUGGCGGCGGCGGCUGUGAGACGAGGAGGUUCAGAAGCCUUUUUUAUCGGGUCCCAAAUUCAGCGAUGCCAAAUGAAAAUAAUGGUUGCAACGUGUUGAUCUUGGGUUCUCUGUCUUGGCCAAAAUCAUUAAACUUGGUCUUCAACUCACUAUUGUCACAUUUAACACCUUAAUCAAUGGGCUCUGUAAAGUGGGUAAAUUUGGCCAAGCCGUGGAAUUAUUUGACGACAUGGUGGCAAGAGGGUAUCAACCUGAUGUCCACACUUAUACUACAAUUAUCAAUGGUUUAUGUAAGAUUGGGGAAACUGUUGCGGCUGCUGGAUUGUUUAGGAAAAUGGGAGAGGCAGGCUGCCAGCCUGAUGUGGUGACAUACUCUACGAUCAUUGACAGUCUUUGCAAAGAUAGGCGGGUGAAUGAGGCUUUAGAUAUCUUCUCUUAUAUGAAGGCUAAAGGCAUUUCCCCUAAUAUUUUCACUUACAACUCUUUGAUCCAAGGCUUAUGCAAUUUCAGCCGAUGGAGGGAGGCUUCGGCAAUGCUAAAUGAAAUGAUGAGUUUGAAUAUCAUGCCAAAUAUUGUCACCUUCAGCCUGUUGAUUAAUAUAUUUUGUAAAGAAGGCAAUGUUUUUGAGGCUCGAGGUGUGCUAAAAACAAUGACUGAAAUGGGUGUGGAGCCUAACGUUGUUACUUACAGUUCGUUGAUGAAUGGAUAUUCCUUGCAGGCAGAAGUUGUUGAAGCUAGAAAGCUUUUUGAUGUCAUGAUAACCAAGGGUUGUAAACCUGAUGUUUUUAGUUAUAACAUCUUAAUUAAUGGAUAUUGUAAGGCCAAAAGGAUAGGUGAAGCCAAGCAGCUUUUUAAUGAAAUGAUUCAUCAAGGCUUAACUCCGGACAUUGUUAGUUACAACACUCUUAUUGAUGGCUUGUGCCAAUUAGGCAGACUUAAGGAAGCACACGAUCUGUUCAAGAAUAUGCUCACUAAUGGCAACCUCCCAGAUUUAUGUACUUACUCAAUAUUGCUUGAUGGCUUUUGCAAACAAGGGUACCUUGCUAAGGCAUUUAGACUAUUUCGAGCAAUGCAAAGUACUUAUUUGAAGCCUAAUAUGGUGAUGUAUAACAUCCUGAUUGAUGCCAUGUGCAAAUCCAGGAAUCUUAAAGAAGCAAGGAAACUAUUUUCAGAACUCUUUGUCCAAGGGUUGCAGCCUAAUGUUCAGAUAUACACUACAAUAAUAAAUGGACUUUGUAAAGAAGGAUUGUUAGAUGAAGCAUUGGAAGCUUUUCGAAAUAUGGAAGAGGAUGGCUGCCCUCCGAAUGAAUUUUCUUAUAAUGUUAUCAUCCGAGGAUUUCUCCAGCACAAGGAUGAAUCAAGGGCAGUGCAACUUAUUGGUGAAAUGAGAGAGAAAGGUUUUGUUGCAGAUGUGGGAACCACAGCUUGAUAUUAGAUAACAGUCUUGUUCUGAAGAAGUAUCUAGGCUUACUUGAAGUUUGUCAAGGUGAAAAGUGCAUCUCUUAAGAGUUACGCUCAUGAUGAUACAUCAGUGGGAUCUUGGAUGAUGGGUGUCCAAGCAACCUAUAUAGACGACAGCCGUCUUUGCUGCAGUAGCAUUAAACAAGGUAAG